rnacentral:tRNA from 1 species
UUGGGGAAGCAAUCGAGGUGGUUGAUCGCUCUCAUAAAGCGACUGCGGUGGGUUCAACUCCCACUCCCCGAA